rnacentral:rRNA from 1 species
UACGGGGGGAGCAAGCGUUGUUCGGAUUUACUGGGCGUAAAGGGCGCGUAGGCGGCCUCUGCAAGUCGACUGUGAAAUCUCCGGGCUUAACCCGGAAAGGUCAGCCGAUACUGCGGGGCUAGAGUGCAGAAGGGGCAACUGGGAAUUCUCGGUGUAGCGGUGAAAUGCGUAGAUAUCGAGAGGAACACCUGCGGCGAAGGCGGGUUGCUGGGCUGACACUGACGCUGAUGCGCGAAAGCGUGGGGAGCAAACAGG